rnacentral:tRNA from 1 species
GCCCUGUUAGCUCAAUCGGUAGAGCGUGCGGCUUUUAACCGCAAGGUUCUGGGUUCGAUCCCCAGGCGGGGCG